UACGUAGGGUGCAAGCGUUGUCCGGAAUUAUUGGGCGUAAAGAGCGUGUAGGCGGCCCGGCAAGUCCGCUGUGAAAGUCCAGGGCUCAACCCUGGAAUGCCGGUGGAUACUGUCGGGCUAGAGUCCGGAAGAGGCGAGUGGAAUUCCUGGUGUAGCGGUGAAAUGCGCAGAUAUCAGGAGGAACACCGAUAGCGAAGGCAGCUCGCUGGGACGGUACUGACGCUGAGACGCGAAAGCGUGGGGAGCAAACAGG
rnacentral:rRNA from 1 species